rnacentral:rRNA from 1 species
CAUGCAAGUCGAACGAAGGCCCGGAGCUUGCUCCGGAUCCCUUAGUGGCGAACGGGUGAGUAUCGCGUGGGAAUCUACCUAGAAGUGGGGAAUAACUGUUGGAAACGACAGCUAAUACCGCAUAAUCCCUUCGGGGCAAAGGCUUCGGCCGCUUUUAGAUGAGCCCGCGUUAGAUUAGGCUGUUGGUGAGGUAAUGGCCCACCAAACCUACAAUCUAUAGCUGGUCUGAGAGGAUGAUCAGCCACACUGGGACUGAGACACGGCCCAGACUCCUACGGGAGGCAGCAGUGGGGAAUAUUGGACAAUGGGGGAAACCCUGAUCCAGCAAUGCCGCGUGAGUGAUGAAGGCCUUAGGGUUGUAAAACUCUUUCAGAAGUGAAGAUGAUGACGGUAACUUCAGAAGAAGCUCCGGCUAACUCCGUGCCAGCAGCCGCGGUAAUACGGAGGGAGCUAGCGUUGUUCGGAAUUACUGGGCGUAAAGGGCGUGUAGGCUGUUAGGUAAGUCAGAGGUGAAAUCCCUAAGCUCAACUUAGGAACUGCCUUUGAUACUAUCUUACUAGAGAUCGAGAGAAGUUGGCGGAAUUCCAAGUGUAGAGGUGAAAUUCGUAGAUAUUUGGAAGAACACCAGUGGCGAAAGCGGCCAACUGGCUCGUAUCUGACGCUGAGACGCGAAAGCGUGGGUAGCAAACAGGAUUAGAUACCCUGGUAGUCCACGCCGUAAACGAUGAGUGCUAGCCGUUUGUGAUUAAUCACAAGUGGUGCAGCUAACGCGUUAAGCACUCCGCCUGGGGAGUACGAUCGCAAGAUUAAAACUCAAGGAGUUGACGGGGGCCCGCACAAGCGGUGGAGCAUGUGUUUAAUUCGACGCAACGCGAAGAACCUUACCAGGUCUUGACAUCCUGACUAUGGUUGUUAGAAAUAACUUCCUUCAGUUCGGCUGGUCAGUGACAGUGAUGCAUGCUGUCGUCAGCUCGUGUCGUGAGAUGUAGGGUAGUCCCGCACGAGCGCACCCUAUCUUCAGUGCAUCAGUAUGCUGGCACUCUGAAAGACUGCGUGAUAGCGAGAGCGGGAUGACGUCAGUCUCAUGCUUAUGACUGGCUACCACGUGCUACAUGGGCGGUGACA